rnacentral:rRNA from 1 species
AACACGUGGAUAAUCUGCCCUUAGGUGGAGGAUAAUCUCGAGAAAUUGAGCAUAAUACUCCAUAGUUCUAGAAUGCUGGAAUGCUUCUAAAAUAAAAGCCCCGGCGCCUAAGAAUGAGUCCGCGGCCUAUCAGGUUGUAGUGAGUGUAACGGACUCACUAGCCGACGACGGGUGCGGGUCCUGGAAGGGAGAGCCCGGAGAUAGACUCUGAGACACGAGUCCAGGCCCUACGGGGCGCAGCAGCUACGAAAACUUCACAAUGCGGGAAACCGUGAUGAGGGAAUUCCAAGUGCUAAUACUUUGUAUUAGCUGUUUACUUGCCUAAAAAGCAGGUAGAGUAAGGGCUGGGUAAGACUGGUGCCAGCCGCCGCGGUAAUACCAGCAGCUCAAGUGGUGAUCGCUAUUAUUGGGCCUAAAGCGUCCGUAGCCGGUUUGGUAAACCCUUGGGUAAAUCGGGCAGCUUAACUGUCCGACUUCUGAGGAGACUGCCAGACUUGGGACCGGGAGAGGUCAGAGGUACUUCUAGGGUAGAGGUGAAAUUCUGUAAUCCUAGAAGGACCACCAGUGGCGAAGGCGUUUGACUAGAACGGGUCCGACGGUAAGGGACGAAACCCUGGGGCGCGAACCGGAUUUGAUACCCGGGUAGUCCAG